CUGCAAUAGUAUCACGGGGAGAAAAGACAAACUGAAACCCAUAGUCACUUCAAACGGGCUGAUUAUUUUGCUUCGGCAUUAACUCCUCCAGAUUUGUUUAAGAUCCUGUUGGAAAAUCUCAUUUGCAUGUUUUGAUAACAGCUGCGGGGAAACUUGUUGGAAAAAAUCCACAACUAUCUCAAUCAAAUUUUCUUCUCCCUCUGCCUUUUUUUUUUUUUUUUUUUUUUACGUUUCCUGCUGUUCUAACAAUUUUUGGGUGGUGGGGCUGGAAGAGCGUCUGAGAACAAGGGAGACAGCAAGCAUAUUAAGGCUGCAUUUGGCCCUGUAGAGGCAGCCUAUUAAAUAAUGUAAUAAAAUGACAGGAGUGAUCAUAAUGGAAGGCUCUCCCACGCUUCCUCCGUGGACUGAAGGCAGGUUGGGGGAGAUCUAGAAGGCACUGAAUCGAUUCGAGUCUUUCCGCGCCGCUAGGAAUCCCGGGGCCAGGCAGUAGGAAAUUUACAUAUUUAUUUAGCUGGAAGAAAGGACUCUAGGAGUUUGUCAUAAUUGCUCCCCUUCCCCCCACGCUGGCCAAUUUCGUAACCUCUUUGGUGCGGCCAAGGUCGCUUCCCCAGGCUACGACGCUAAGCCGAGAGGGUCGCGCUGCCCAGAUGCGGAGGAAGCAGGGGCACUCCUAGAGCCAGCUGCGGGCGGAGGCUCCAGCGGAGGUUCAGGCCCAGAGGCUCGACUGGAGAGAAAGAAGGGUCCGAGUGUGUGUAAAUGGUUUCUGGGCUCCAAACGGCCACAGUUAGCCCAGAACUUCCAGCCCUGAUCUAGGAAAAGAACAUUUGAUGCCAUCAAAGGGCUGCAGAUUGAAACCAGAUGUGCUCGCCUCGGUUCUUUCCAUGCAUUUAAUUAAGGAGCCGGGAUGGAGGAGACUUUUUCAUCAUUAGCCCACCCACUCCCUCCCUCCUCUUUCCAUCCCUUCGCCCUCCCCCGCGGCCCGCUCGCACCCGGACCGCGAGCCCCAGAGCCCAGCCAGCGCCGCGUGGUGCGCAGAGCCCGUCGCUCCGUCUCCCCAGUGGUCGGGGCUCUAAGCAGUAAACAUCUGUCCGCGUCUGGGCUGGGGCGAGCUGCGCGGCAGGGCUAGCGGGAUGCCGGUGGGAGACGGCCGAGCUCCCAGGUGGGCCCGCCGGAGUGGGAGCGUUGCAGGCGGGUGCCUUGCGCGGAGAUUUCCAAAACCGUUGGUUGCGCGCGCCUAAGCCGAGCGCACAUGUGUCAGUGCCACCGGCUGGAAUGGACGUGACUUAAUCGCAUAGAGAGGUUUUCAGCCGGCGUCCCGCUGCAUGAGCUUAGGUGAAAGGGCUGAGGGGCCGGCCGUUUCUCCCUUCUCUCCACGCCCCGCGAGGCACGGCUGGGAAUGUCCCCGCAGCCGAGUCAGCCUCUUCGGAUCUUCCCAGAAAUGGAGCAGGCCCUAGCCUUUCCCUCCUUCUCCACCCUCAUUACACAGUUGUAUUUUAAUGUUUCUUUUCGUCCUUGAUACCAACCGAACUGCCUUUUGUGACAAAGGUCUGGAUAAGGGACUAGGGGCUUCUGACACCCCCAGGACUUGCCGCUUCCCCUGAAGACACAUUGAUCUCAGUCAUAUGAGGGGAGAUCGCCCUUCGGAGGAAGUUGCCUUGUCCAGAGUGUGCCGUCAGCCUGGUUGGUGACCGAGAGGUAGCGACAGGGGAGAUACGGGCAGUUGGAAACAAUCAGAUGUCUCCACUUGUGUUCCGCUGUGUUUUCCAAGGGGAUCGGGCGCUCCCUUUACAUCAUCCACUUGUCAUACUUAUAAUAAUAUCAACCAAUUAUACCAAUACCAACUAAGAUGCUAACGGUUUCAACAAAAACACUGGGCACAUUUGCUUAGCAUUUGUCGACCAAAUUACAUAUACAUGCAUAUAUAUGUGUGUAUAUGUACACAUAUAUACAUCUAUACAUUUCUAUGCACAAUAUUUUCCCAAAAUGUCUUCCGGAGUGAGAGUUCAAAUACCAGCAGACUGUGUGGGGUUGGCCCAGCUGCCACAGCGCAGCUCUCGGCGCUGCGCUAGAGUCCUGAGGCCCCGGAGUCCCCCUCCAGGGGUGGCAUUUGAGGACUACGUGGCAGGAGAAGGGCUGACAGAGUGUCCUCCAAGCCCAGAAGAAUUUGGAACUAGGGGGCAGACUCCCGGGGUGUCCAAGGGAAGGGAGAUGCCAGCUUGAGACAGGGUCUGGAGACAGGCGGCAGGGCCCCUCUGGCAGUCCCGGCAUGCUUAUUUUGGAAUCCUGCGGAAAAGGCUCCGGGGACUCUUCACCGCUCCAGAAGGCCAUUCCUUCCCAGGGUAUCCGUAGUUCUCACCACAGGGAGCUGGGGCGGCGGGGUGAGUUGGGAGGACGCUCUGGGAGGGUCCCCAAGAAAGCAAAUCCUGGAGGCAUAGACCCUGCAGAAUUGAUAUUUUUUUCUUGUUUAGGUCUUUGUGGAGUUUUUUAGUUUUUAUUUUUUUCUAUUAACAAUUGCUAGUGGAUUGGAUCCACACCCUUAUUAUGUUUACACAAAACAUUUGUAAUUUGUUGAGAUUCUGGACUGUAAUUAAAAACCAGCCGGAUAACCCUA